rnacentral:rRNA from 1 species
GAACCUGCCUUGAGGUUCGGAAUAACUCAGAAGAAAUUUGAGCUAAUACCGGAUGAUGUCUUCGGACCAAAGAUUUAUCGCCUUUAGAUGGGCCCGCGUUGGAUUAGCUAGUUGGUGGGGUAAAGGCCUACCAAGGCGACGAUCCAUAGCUGGUCUGAGAGGAUGAUCAGCCACACUGGGACUGAGACACGGCCCAGACUCCUACGGGAGGCAGCAGUGGGGAAUAUUGGACAAUGGGCGAAAGCCUGAUCCAGCAAUGCCGCCUGAAUUAAUGAAGGCCUUAGGGUUGUAAAGCUCUUUUACCAGGGAUGAUAAUGACAGUACCUGGAGAAUAAGCUCCGGCUAACUCCGUGCCAGCAGCCGCGGUAAUACGGAGGGAGCUAGCGUUGUUCGGAAUUACUGGGGCGUUAAAGCGCACGUAGGCGGCUCAGCAAGUCANGGGUGAAAUCCCGGGCUCAACCCCGGACUGCCCUUGAACUGCUAGCUAGAAUCUUGGAGAGGCGAGUGGAAUUCCNAGUGUANAGUGAAUUCGUAGAUAUUCG